rnacentral:ribozyme from 1 species
GGAAAAAUAGAAAAUCCUAGAAACAGAAUGUCGACAAUGGUUUCUCUGAGCCCGUGUGUAGACCCUUUCAUCAAGUUUGCACUCUUUAUUAUCAUGGUGACGGCCAUCACAGGUCAUCCCUUAGAUAAUUUUAUUUAUCGCUAUCAUCUUGAAUGUAGUCAA